CCUAUUUUUCUGGCACACAACAAAUUUCAUUCUCUAUAUAAGGCCCCAUCUCCUCUCAUUUUAGAGGCUCUGAAUUUGGAAUACAUAGACAUAUACGUCAAUAUCUGCAUAUUCACUCAUUAAAGGCACCAGAGAGGCUCUGAAUUUCAUUUUUUACUCUUACUUUUAGUAGAAAAGGAACUUUUGAAAUUCAAUCUUGAAAACUUCAGAAAAGAAAAAAAAAAUAUUUCUCAAUUUGGCUUCAUUUCCCUACACUUUGGUCCUAACUCGUUCUGUUUUGUUUGGAGUUUGGUCUAUCUCUAUUCCUUCUGUUUUGCUGCUGCUGAGUACUUGUUGAUUAGUAGCUGAUCUGCAUAUUUGAUUUUUCUUUGACCUUUAUUCGGUGCGGAUCUUCUGUUGAUUGCAGAUUGCUAGUGUAUGCAGGGAAAUCGGGAGACCAAUUUUCCUCGAGAUAGUAUUUCGAAGAGCAAGCCCCGAAGGCACGGGAUCUCGGUUCGGUUCCCCCUCGAGACCUAGCCGAUGCCUUGCCCAGAUCGAGCACCAAUUAAGACCUUGAUGGGCGAAGAUAUUCCCCGAGGGAUGUGACUGGGGCCCGCGAGACUUCUCCAAACGGCUCGACGCCAGUUCUCCUACAAAGAAAUGCAGGCUGUCGCAUCUCGUUAUUUUGUUGUAUUUGUUUGUUAUAUUAAGUUUGGACGCCCCCCUUUUUUCUAUAAAAGAAGGGUCACCAACACCUUGUAGGAUCAUCUCUUGUUGGCUUUACAAAGAAAGCAAUAAUAUUCUCUCUCUCUUUCUCUAAAUUCCUCUCUGGUUUUAAA